rnacentral:misc_RNA from 1 species
UUUCCGUAGGUGAACCUGCGGAAGGAUCAUUACUGAGUGAGGGCCCCUCGGGGUCCAACCUCCCACCCGUGCUUAACGAACCUUGUUGCUUCGGCGGGCCCGCCUCACGGCCGCCGGGGGGCAUCUGCCCCUGGGCCCGCGCCCGCCGAAGUCACCUGUGAACGCUGUCUGAAGUAUGCAGUCUGAGACAAUUAUUAAAUUAAUUAAAACUUUCAACAACGGAUCUCUUGGUUCCG